AUUGAACGCUGGCGGCAGGCCUAACACAUGCAAGUCGAGCGAGCGGCGGACGGGUGAGUAAUGUCUGGGAAACUGCCCGAUGGAGGGGGAUAACUACUGGAAACGGUAGCUAAUACCGCAUACUAUCAGAUGUGCCCAGAUGGGAUUAGCUAGUAGGUCUGGUAACGGAUCACCUAGGCGACGAUCCCUAGCUGGUCUGAGAGGAUGACCAGCCACAAUGGAACUGAGACACGGUCCAGACUCCUACGGGAGGCAGCAGUGGGGAAUAUUGCACAAUGGGCGCAAGCCUGAUGCAGCCAUGCCGCGUGUGUGAAGAAGGCCUUCGGGUUGUAAAGCACUGUCAGCGGGGAGGCGUUACCCGCAGAAGAAGCACCGGCUAACUCCGUGCCAGCAGCCGCGGUAAUUC
rnacentral:rRNA from 1 species